AUUGUUACAAACUAAAUAAAAACAGAUCUUCCAUCUUUUCUGCUUUUGCAAUCGAUCUAGGAGCCGCUUAGGGUUUGGACAAUGGUGUUGUGCCAUGGAUCUGAGAGGUGCUGCAACAGGUUGUCGAACGGCCCCUUUCCGGUCACAUUGUGUUGAACCACAAACCCGAGGAAGGCCAACAUUGCCAGUCUCCCUGCAUAACACAUUUCAAACAACAUAUUAGACCUUGUUUCAAACAUAAAAGCAAACGUGGGUUAGGCUAGUUGGUCAGGGCAGUGUGCGCCCCUUGGUAGUGACAUCAAAUGCUUACCAUUGGCAAGUUCCUUCUCCUUGGCCUCGAGAGUGGGUUCGAAGUUGAG
rnacentral:lncRNA from 1 species